UACGAAGGGGGCUAGCGUUGUUCGGAAUUACUGGGCGUAAAGCGCACGUAGGCGGAUACUUAAGUCAGGGGUGAAAUCCCGGGGCUCAACCCCCGGAACUGCCUUUGAUACUGGGUAUCUCGAGUCCGGAAGAGGUGAGUGGAAUUCCGAGUGUAGAGGUGAAAUUCGUAGAUAUUCGGAGAACACCAGUGGCGAAGGCGGCUCACUGGUCCGAUCGACGCUGAGGCUGAAGACGGAGGCAAACAGGGA
rnacentral:rRNA from 1 species